GAUGAACGCUGGCGGCGUGCUUAACACAUGCAAGUCGAACGGUGAAAGAGAGCUUGCUCUCUGGAUCAGUGGCGAACGGGUGAGUAACACGUGAGCAAUCUGCCCCUGACUCUGGGAUAAGCGCUGGAAACGGCGUCUAAUACCGGAUACGAGCUGCGAAGGCAUCUUCAGCAGCUGGAAAGAACUUCGGUCAGGGAUGAGCUCGCGGCCUAUCAGCUAGUUGGUGAGGUAAUGGCUCACCAAGGCGUCGACGGGUAGCCGGCCUGAGAGGGUGACCGGCCACACUGGGACUGAGACACGGCCCAGACUCCUACGGGAGGCAGCAGUGGGGAAUAUUGCACAAUGGGCGCAAGCCUGAUGCAGCAACGCCGCGUGAGGGACGACGGCCUUCGGGUUGUAAACCUCUUUUAGCAGGGAAGAAGCGAAAGUGACGGUACCUGCAGAAAAAGCACCGGCUAACUACGUGCCAGCAGCCGCAGUAACAC
rnacentral:rRNA from 1 species